rnacentral:misc_RNA from 1 species
GAUUUUUAGAAUUCUUACUGAAUGCAAGCAUAGGGUAAAAACUAACUUAUACUGGCUCUAGGAAUUGAUAUGCAGGCCCUAGGUGGUUAUUUUUAGCUAUCUGACCAUUUGGGUUUCCAGUUAUGCAUUUUGAGUCUCCACUUUCUAUUUAGAUUUGUGGUUUUAUGUUUCUGGGGUUAAAUAAAAUGUAAUUUUGCAUGCACAGUGAUUAUCACUCGUCUCUAUGAUAUAUACUUUACAUUUUAAUUUUCACAAAUGUCCAAAUUUUU